rnacentral:rRNA from 1 species
CCUACGGGUGGCAGCAGUAGGGAAUCUUCCACAAUGGGCGAAAGCCUGAUGGAGCAACGCCGCGUGGGUGAAGAAGGUCUUCGGAUCGUAAAACCCUGUUGUUAGAGAAGAAAGUGCGUGAGAGUAACUGUUCACGUUUCGACGGUAUCUAACCAGAAAGCCACGGCUAACUACGGGCCAGCAGCCGCGGUAAUACGUAGGUGGCAAGCGUUAGCCGGAUUUAUUGGGCGUAAAGGGAACGCAGGCGGUCUUUUAAGUCUGAUGUGAAAGCCUUCGGCUUAACCGGAGUAGUGCAUUGGAAACGGGUAGACUUGAGUGCAGAAGAGGAGAGUGGAACUCCAUGUGUAGCGGUGAAAUGCGUAGAUAUAUGGAAGAACACCAGUGGCGAAGGCGGCUCUCUGGUCUGUUACUGACGCUGAAGCUCGAAAGCGCGGGUAUCGAACAGGAUUAGAUACCCUUGUAGUC